rnacentral:rRNA from 1 species
ACGGAAGGCAGCAGUGAGGAAUAUUGGUCAAUGGACGGGAGUCUGAACCAGCCAAGUAGCGUGAGGGAUGACGGCCAUAUGGUUGUAAACCUCUUUUGCGAGGGAAUAAAGUGCGUCACGUGUGGUGCAUUGCAUGUACCUUGCGAAUAAGGAUCGGCUAACUCCGUGCCAGCAGCCGCGGUAAUACGGAGGAUCCGAGCGUUAUCCGGAUUUAUUGGGUUUAAAGGGAGCGUAGGCGGGAAGUCAAGUCAGCUGUGAAAUGUAGUCGCUCAACGUCUGCACUGCAGUUGAAACUGGUUUUCUUGAGUGCGUAAGAGGCAGGUGGAAUUUGUCGUGUAGCGGUGAAAUGCUUAGAUAUGACGAAGAACUCCGAUUGCGAAGGCAGCCUGCUGGGCCGCAACUGACGCUGAAGCUCGAAGGUGCGGGUAUCAAACAGGAUUAGAUACCCUGGUA